CCUACGGGUGGCUGCAGUGGGGAAUAUUGGACAAUGGGCGAAAGCCUGAUCCAGCCAUGCCGCGUGUGUGAAGAAGGCCUUCGGGUUGUAAAGCACUUUCAGUGGGGAAGAAAGCCUUGGGGCUAAUACCCUCGAGGAAGGACAUCACCCACAGAAGAAGCACCGGCUAACUCCGUGCCAGCAGCCGCGGUAAUACGGAGGGUGCGAGCGUUAAUCGGAAUUACUGGGCGUAAAGCGCGCGUAGGCGGUCUGAUAAGCCGGUUGUGAAAGCCCCGGGCUCAACCUGGGAACGGCAUCCGGAACUGUCAGGCUAGAGUGCAGGAGAGGAAGGUAGAAUUCCCGGUGUAGCGGUGAAAUGCGUAGAGAUCGGGAGGAAUACCGGUGGCGAAGGCGGCCUUCUGGACUGACACUGACGCUGAGGUGCGAAAGCGUGGGUAGCAAACAGGAUUAGAUACCCCAGUAGUC
rnacentral:rRNA from 1 species